GGAUGACUUGGGAUGGCAUCCCAGGUUCUGGCACGUACGUAGAAAAUUCUGCAGAGACACCAGCAGGCAGUCACCAGUACCUGAGGAAUGUUCUACACGUCCCACCGUCACUAGGGUACCUUUAUAGGGAGUCUGCUCAGCGUAACUCACCCAUUCUGUGCAACACGGUCUCCCAGAGUCUAGAUUAGAAAAAUGAAUGUAGGGUGCAACAGAAAUUAGUCUUUCUCUUCAUACCCCUCCUGUUGGUUUUGUUUUGUUCUCUUCGGCUGUACAAUUUCUUGCAAGGCAAGAAAGAAAUGCAAAGCCGUGUUA